UUGGUCCCCAUUAACCAGCCGC
rnacentral:miRNA from 1 species